UUUCAGCCCCGAUUGAAUCGGAAAUCCUUUUCUGCCGGUGUUCGGCAUAAAAGAUUGAAGUGCAAAGCGGGAGAAGCU
rnacentral:sRNA from 1 species